CAGAAAAUAGUUUAUGUAAAAUAAUAGUUUUGGAGGCUGUAGAAGUCUUGACUUUUCUGA
rnacentral:tRNA from 1 species